rnacentral:rRNA from 1 species
ACGGGUGCGUAACGCGUAUGCAAUCUGCCUUUCACAGAGGGAUAGCCCACAGAAAUUUGGAUUAAUACCUCUAGUAUUACGACUCGGCAUCGAGAUGUAAUUAAAGUCACAACGGUGAAAGAUGAGCAUGCGUCCCAUUACCUAGUUGGUAAGGUAACGGCUUACCAAGGCAACGAUGGGUAGGGGUCCUGAGAGGGAGAUCCCCCACACUGGUACUGAGACACGGACCAGACUCCUACGGGAGGCAGCAAUGAGGAAUAUUGGACAAUGGGCGCAAGCCUGAUCCGGCCAUGCCGCGUGCAGGAUGACGGUCCUAUGGAUUGUAAACUGCUUUUGUACAAGAAGAAACAUCCCGACCUGUCGGGACUUGACGGUUUCGUAAGAAUAAGGAUCGGCUAACUCCAUGCCAGCAGCCGCGGUAAUACGGAGGAUCCAAGCGUUAUCCGAAAUCAUUGGGUUUAAAGGGUCCGUAGGCCGUUUAUUAAGUCAGUGGUGAAAGCCCAUCGCUCAACGGUGGAACGGCCAUUGAUACUGCUUAACUUGAAUUACUGGGAAGUAACUAGAAUAUGUAGUGUACCGGUGAAAUGCUUAGA